AUGUGGCCGCAGGAGGGACUGGGCGAGCCUGUCCUUCGGGCCGGCGUGGGUGAUCGCGGACCGCGUGCUCGCCGGAGACGUCGCCCAGUACGUGCGCUUCCGCGCGGUGUGCACCGCGUGGCGGGGAUGCACCGCGGACCCGAGCGGCGACGCCCUGGACCGCCGGUUCCACCCGCGCUGCUGGGUCAAGCUCCAGGACGUGGUCACCGGCGGCAAGCGGCCUCGCUACCGCUACAGCCGCUUCCUGAACAUGGCCACCCGCGAGCAGAUCCGGAUGACAAUCCGGGGGCUGGACGGCCGCGGCGGCCGACUACGCAUCACCUGCACUGCACGUUCGUGGGCCUGCUCGUCCUGGUAAACAAGAGGACCGACGCCGUGUUCGUGCUCAACCCGAUCACCGGCGCCCGCGCCGAUCUCCCGCCGCUGGGCUCGCUGCUGUCCAGCCACACGCGGGACUUCGUUCUCCCGAGAGCGCCCGGAGUGUCCUCCCUGACUGCGGAGCUGACCCGUGAUUCGGCGGUCGUGAUCAACUUCGGCGGCGGCGGGUACCAGCGGAUGGGCAUCGCGAGACCUGGCGAUGAACACUGGACCAAGGUGGAGUGCGAACACCGGAUCGGCGGCUCGGUCCUCUCGUUCCGAGGCGACGUCUACUGUUUCACGGCGGGUCCAAGUCGAACUCCUUGGUGCUGGAGACCUCGCCGGACAAUCCGCCGAGGCUAG
rnacentral:rRNA from 1 species